rnacentral:ncRNA from 1 species
CUGAUCCAGCCAUGCCGCGUGCAGGAAGACGGUCCUAUGGAUUGUAAACUGCUUUUGUACGGGAAGAACAAGGGGCACGUGUGCCCCUCUGACGGUACCGUAAGAAUAAGGAUCGGCUAACUCCGUGCCAGCAGCCGCGGUAAUACGGAGGAUCCGAGCGUUAUCCGGAAUCAUUGGGUUUAAAGGGUCCGUAGGCGGGCCAUUAAGUCAGGGGUGAAAGUCUGCGGCUCAACCGUAGAAUUGCCCUUGAUACUGGUGGUCUUGAGUUAUGGUGAAGUAACUAGAAUAUGUAGUGUAGCGGUGAAAUGCAUAGAUAUUACAUAGAAUACCGAUUGCGAAGGCAGGUUACUAACCAUAUACUGACGCUGAUGGACGAAAGCGUGGGGAGCGAACAGGAUUAGAUACCCUGGUAGUCCACGCCGUAAACGAUGGAUACUAGCUGUCCGGAUGCAAAUCUGGGCGGCCAAGCGAAAGUGAUAAGUAUCCCACCUGGGGAGUACGUCCGCAAGGAUGAAACUCAAAGGAAUUGACGGGGGCCCGCACAAGCGGUGGAGCAUGUGGUUUAAUUCGAUGAUACGCGAGGAACCUUACCAGGGCUUAAAUGUGGUCUGACAGCUUUAGAGAUAGAGCCUCCUUCGGGCAGAUCACAAGGUGCUGCAUGGUUGUCGUCAGCUCGUGCCGUGAGGUGUCAGGUUAAGUCCUAUAACGAGCGCAACCCCUGCCGUUAGUUGCCAGCAUGUAAAGAUGGGGACUCUAACGGGACUGCCGGUGCAAACCGCGAGGAAGGUGGGGAUGACGUCAAAUCAUCACGGCCCUUACGUCCUGGGCCACACACGUGCUACAAUGGCCGGUACAGAGAGCAGCCACUGGGCAACCAGGAGCGAAUCUAUAAAACCGGUCACAGUUCGGAUCGGGGUCUGCAACUCGACCCCGUGAAGCUGGAAUCGCUAGUAAUCGGAUAUCAGCCAUGAUCCGGUGAAUACGUUCCCGGGCCUUGUACACACCGCCCGUCAAGCCAUGGAAGCCGGGAGUGCCUGAAGUCCGUCACCGCAAGGAGCGGCCUAGGGCAAGAUCGGUAACUAGGGCUAAGUCGUAACAAGGUAGCCGUACCGGAAGGUGCGGCUGGAACACCUCCUUU